rnacentral:rRNA from 1 species
AUGUCAUACAUCCGUAAUGACCUUCUUGACGCCAUGGAUUUGGGCUCAAGCUCCGCUGCCGUUCAUGGCCGAAGUCCACUGAGGAGGGGAGACCCUGGUAGUAGUGGACCGGUGCUGCAACGGUACUACAACCCUGGUGUGGUCUUCCAAGAUGCAGCACGGCAUGGCCGGGAUGAAAUUGAUCUGAAUGUUGCUGUUGAGCCAUCAAUUUUCCUUGACGAUGAUAUGCAAAAUGUUGCGCAUGAAGACGAAGAAUAUGGAAUUGAUCUGAAUGAUACUCCCCAAAAUGAUAGUGACGAUUCGUUGCAGCUGAACACCGAUGGUGUAGCUCCAAAUCAUGGCAAUGCCCGUGUGGCUAGUGACAAUUCCAAUGGAAAUGCUGCAACACUUGUUGAUGAACCGGAUGAAGAUAUAUCAUCACAGCCAGUUGUCCCUUUUGUUGGAAUGGUUUUUGACAAUGUUGAAGAAGCUCAGCGUGUUUACAAUGAAUAUGCCUCAAAGAUGGGCUUUGGUACUCGCAUUGUGACAUCAAAACAUAGUAGGAAAAGCAGCUCGGAUCCGAAGCGCAUUCUUAUCUAUAGAGUUUUUGAGUGCAUACACUCACGAAAAAAAUCCUUCGAAGAAUGUUGGUGGUAG